AGACCCGAAACCCGGUGAUCUAGCCAUGGGCAGGUUGAAGGUUGGGUAACACUAACUGGAGGACCGAACCGACUAAUGUUGAAAAAUUAGCGGAUGACCUGUGGCUGGGGGUGAAAGGCCAAUCAAACCGGGAGAUAGCUGGUUCUCCCCGAAAGCUAUUUAGGUAGCGCCUCGUGAAUUCAUCUCCGGGGGUAGAGCACUGUUUCGGCUAGGGGGCCAUCCCGGCUUACCAACCCGAUGCAAACUGCGAAUACCGGAGAAUGUUAUCACGGGAGACACACGGCGGGUGCUAACGUCCGUCGUGAAGAGGGAAACAACCCAGACCGCCAGCUAAGGUCCCAAAGUCAUGGUUAAGUGGGAAACGAUGUGGGAAGGCCCAGACAGCCAGGAUGUUGGCUUAGAAGCAGCCAUCAUUUAAAGAAAGCGUAAUAGCUCACUGGUCGAGUCGGCCUGCGCGGAAGAUGUAACGGGGCUAAACCAUGCACCGAAGCUGCGGCAGCGACACUCAGGUGUUGUUGGGUAGGGGAGCGUUCUGUAAGCCUGCGAAGGUGGCCUGUGAGGGUUGCUGGAGGUAUCAGAAGUGCGAAUGCUGACAUAAGUAACGAUAAAGCGGGUGAAAAGCCCGCUCGCCGGAAGACCAAGGGUUCCUGUCCAACGUUAAUCGGGGCAGGGUGAGUCGACCCCUAAGGCGAGGCCGAAAGGCGUAGUCGAUGGGAAACGGGUUAAUAUUCCCGUACUUGGUGUUACUGCGAAGGGGGGACGGAGAAGGCUAUGUUGGCCGGGCGACGGUUGUCCCGGUUUAAGCGUGUAGGUGUGUGUUCCAGGUAAAUCCGGUUCACUUUAACACUGAGGCGUGAUGACGAGGCACUACGGUGCUGAAGCAACAAAUGCCCUGCUUCCAGGAAAAGCCUCUAAGCAUCAGGUAACAUCAAAUCGUACCCCAAACCGACACAGGUGGUCAGGUAGAGAAUACCAAGGCGCUUGAGAGAACUCGGGUGAAGGAACUAGGCAAAAUGGUGCCGUAACUUCGGGAGAAGGCACGCUGACAUGUAGGUGAAGUGAUUUACUCAUG
rnacentral:rRNA from 1 species